UGGGGAAUAUUGCACAAUGGGGGAAACCCUGAUGCAGCGACGCCGCGUGAACGAAGAAGGUAUUCGUAUCGUAAAGUUCUGUCCUAUGGGAAGAUAAUGACAGUACCAUAGAAGAAAGCUCCGGCUAACUACGUGCCAGCAGCCGCGGUAAUAAGUAUGGAGCGAGCGUUUUCCGGACUUAUUGGGCGUAAAGGGUACGCAGGCGGUUUAAUAAGUGGAAUGUUAAAGAUCGGGGCUCAACCCCGCAAAGCAUUGGAAACUGAUAAACUUGAGUAGUAGAGAGGAAAGUGGAAUUCCUAGUGUAGUGGUGAAAUACGUAGAUAUUAGGAGGAAUACCAGUAGCGAAGGCGACUUUCUGGACACAAACUGACGCUGAGGUACGAAAGCGUGGGGAGCAAACAGG
rnacentral:rRNA from 1 species